GCCACGGUUAAAUCUCUAAUCAGAAAAUGAGAGAUUGAUGAAACUUUAUACAAAAGCAAUCACCAAACCACCGAAUCAGAUCAGGAAUACGAUAACAGCUGCGGGUCGUGUAUGGCCAAACAAAGUGUCUACUACUACGAGUUUUACCUAAGAAUAACACAGAAGGUUGCAUUUGUAAUCGAUAGAUUGUUGGCAAGAUAGU